UACGGGGGGGGGCAAGCGUUGUUCGGAAUUACUGGGCGUAAAGGGCUCGUAGGCGGCCAACUAAGUCCGACGUGAAAUCCCCAGGCUUAACCUGGGAACUGCGUCGGAUACUGGAUGGCUUGAAUUCGGGAGAGGGAUGCAGAAUUCCAGGUGUAGCGGUGAAAUUCGUAGAUAUUCGCAAGAACACCAGUGGCGAAGGCGGCUCACUGGCCCGGUACUGACGCUGAGGCACGAAAGCGUGGGGAGCAAACAGGG
rnacentral:rRNA from 1 species